rnacentral:misc_RNA from 1 species
AUCAAACCCUAAUUUACUUUCCUAUCAAAUUUUAUAUUUUCCCAUCAUAUUUUGAUCCCUAAUUGCCUUUCCUAUCAAACAGCCAAAUUCUUGUCUUUUCCCCAUUUUAUUUGAUCUCUAAUCCUCCUUUGCAAACCCUGAUCCAACACAUACUUCAUGCCUUUUUUAACCUUUCAUGUUAGCCUAAGACGAGCACUAAACUCUAAUGCAUGAAGAAGAAAAAUAAAUCCAUAUGUUUCCAUUGCCUCUCUGAAUCCAGCACAUUGUACACCCAUAUAUUUUCAUUUGAUCCAGAUACCCCAACCCAAUUGCAUGCUUCUCCUAGGUUGAACAAAUCCUACAUGAAUAAAAAUUGAGUUUGUUAAUCUUAGCUAAAAAGAAAGAAGCUGCUAACACUUUCCUUUAUCAAUCAAUAUUCUUCCCACAAUUUCUCUAUUAAACCAAUGAAACCUUCGAACUUAAUUUUUUUAAAACUGUUCUGUGACAAAUAUUCAUAUCCAUAGGUUCAUAUAGUUUUAAUUUCAAUAUGAUGGUGCUGCACUAUAAUGCUGAAACCUCACAAUGGGUGCGCAUGUACAUAAUUUCAACACCUGUUCUCAUGAUUAUUCCUCAAUAUAGUAUUAUUAUCCCAGCCCCCCUAACAUAAAUCAUAUAAUAAAAUACAUAAAUAUGGAAAAAUCCAAAGUAUAAUUUAAAAGAAAUAAGAAUAUAAUGCUGGAAACAAACCUCCCAAAACCAGGAUAUCAGAGGAUCGGUUUCUUUGUAGCCAUUGUACUCGGUAUGU